rnacentral:tRNA from 2 species
UAGUUCAGUUGGUUAGAAUACCGGCCUGUCACGCCGGGGGUCGCGGGUUCGAGUCCCGUCCGCUCC